CGUACACUCCUGCGGGAGGCAGCAGUGGGGAAUAUUGGACAAUGGGCGCAAGCCUGAUCCAGCCAUGCCGCGUGAGUGAUGAAGGCCCUAGGGUUGUAAAGCUCUUUCACCGGUGAAGAUAAUGACGGUAACCGGAGAAGAAGCCCCGGCUAACUUCGUGCCAGCAGCCGCGGUAAUACGAAGGGGGCUAGCGUUGUUCGGAUUUACUGGGCGUAAAGCGCACGUAGGCGGACUAUUAAGUCAGGGGUGAAAUCCCGGGGCUCAACCCCGGAACUGCCUUUGAUACUGGUAGUCUUGAGUUCGAGAGAGGUGAGUGGAAUUCCGAGUGUAGAGGUGAAAUUCGUAGAUAUUCGGAGGAACACCAGUGGCGAAGGCGGCUCACUGGCUCGAUACUGACGCUGAGGUGCGAAAGCGUGGGGAGCAAACAGGAUUAGAAACCCGUGUAGUCCCAUGAU
rnacentral:rRNA from 1 species